rfam:Operophtera brumata OBRT01_Sc00978, whole genome shotgun sequence.
UACAAGGCCCUAUUUAGGGCCACCAAACCUAAAACUUGCUAG